rfam:Pichia kudriavzevii strain SD108 contig03755, whole genome shotgun sequence.
GGGUUAAUGGUCUAGUGGUAUGAUUCUCGCUUUGGGUGCGAGAGGCCCUGGGUUCAAUUCCCAGUUGACCCC